CAGUAGGGAAUGAAGGAGCCGCCGGCUCUGACCGCGGGCUCGGCUGUGGGUGUCAGUCGCAGGUGCCGCCAGCCGUGGUUCGGCCCCUCCCGAGUUUGCCUUCCUUCCUAUAAAGGAGAAAGCUUAGUUGAAAAGGAGAAAGCUUUAAGCCAAUUGAAAAAGGUAAGUAACAUGCCUUAAUUUUAUUAUUUUAUGAAUCAUAUAUACGCUUGCUUACAUAAUUUACAUAAUUUAUAAAGUAUUAUUUAUGCAUUUGAAUUAUGCAUAAGAUUAGUUAUUUGAGAUACUGUUAAUAAGUUUUCACUCUACCUAUGAGUACUAUUUGUGAAAAGUAUUAUAUACGGGCUCUUAGAUGCUAUGAAUCGCCCCCCCCCCUACCUUCAAAUAAGGAUCAAGCAUAUGCUAGUAAAUGUGCAUGAUUUACUAAAGAUAGCAAGGUUCAUGAGAUAUGGUAAUACAAAUGCAUUAAAAUGAUAUUUAUAGCAUGAUUAUGAAAUUAAUGAUUUGAGGUGCCAUUAAUCAGUUUUCAG
rnacentral:lncRNA from 1 species